GAUGAACGCUGGCGGCGUGCCUAAUACAUGCAAGUCGAGCGAACGGACGAGAAGCUAGCUUCUCUGAUGUUAGCGGCGGACGGGUGAGUAACACGUGGAUAACCUACCUAUAAGACUGGGAUAACUUCGGGAAACCGGAGCUAAUACCGGAUAAUAUUUUGAACCGCAUGGUUCAAAAGUGAAAGACGGUCUUGCUGUCACUUAUAGAUGGAUCCGCGCUGCAUUAGCUAGUUGGUAAGGUAACGGCUUACCAAGGCAACGAUGCAUAGCCGACCUGAGAGGGUGAUCGGCCACACUGGAACUGAGACACGGUCCAGACUCCUACGGGAGGCAGCAGUAGGGAAUCUUCCGCAAUGGGCGAAAGCCUGACGGAGCAACGCCGCGUGAGUGAUGAAGGUCUUCGGAUCGUAAAACUCUGUUAUUAGGGAAGAACAUAUGUGUAAGUAACUGUGCACAUCUUGACGGUACCUAAUCAGAAAGCCACGGCGAACUACGU
rnacentral:rRNA from 1 species